GCCGGAUCUCGCCGCGGCCUAAUACUUGCUGCGCGACGAAGUAAAUCAAUCUCUGCUGUGCGCGGUCGCUCAAUCUAGCAAUAGUGGUGCCGGCGAGACGGCGGUAGCAGUACAAGAAGAAUUUGACCACAGUUCCAAAAGGGUUGCCCUGUCGAAUCCAAAGCAUUCGACAGACAAAGACGAUGGACAAGCACCUGACUCGUCGAGCAGGUUUCAGUUGCCAGAGGCCACCAUCUGUCAACGGUUAGUGAACGGCGAAGCAAGCCAAGCUUUGGUAUGCAACAGCCGCUGAAUCCAGCAUUGGUAAUGUGGGUGAUCCACCGCCCCACAAUACAAGUAGACAUCAACAGCACUUGCAAUGGAAUGGCCCUGUCCCUUCCGACCCGAGAACAAUCGACAGGCAAAGACGAUCCUCAAGCACCUGGCUGGACCAAAAGGUAUAACAAUUGUGGAUGUGUGUUUCUGUUUCAAGGAUAUGACAAUUUUGAGUUGGCUGUAUAUUUAUAUUCCUCCAAAUUUCACUGAGAAGUACUGAUUUUCCUGUAAAGUACAAGGCUGCUGCUAGACGUCGAUACGUUGUGUUUUGUGAUUA